ACGGGAGGCAGCAGUGGGGGAUAUUGCACAAUGGGGGAAACCCUGAUGCAGCGACGCCGCGUGAGUGAAGAAGUAUUUCGGUAUGUAAAGCUCUAUCAGCAGGAAAGAUAAUGACGGUACCUGACUAAGAAGCACCGGCUAAAUACGUGCCAGCAGCCGCGGUAAUACGUAUGGUGCAAGCGUUAUCCGGAUUUACUGGGUGUAAAGGGAGCGUAGACGGCAUGGUAAGCCAGAUGCGAAAGGCAGGGGCUCAACUCCUGGACUGCAUUUGGAACUGUCAAGCUAGAGUAUCGGAGAGGUAAGUGGAAUUCCCAGUGUAGCGGUGAAAUGCGUAGAGAUUGGGAGGAACACCAGUGGCGAAGGCGAGUAACUGGACUGUAACUGACGCUGAGGCGCGAAAGUGUGGGGAGCAAACAGGAUUAGAUACCCUGGUA
rnacentral:rRNA from 1 species